GUCCCAGGCAAAUCUACACUCGACCCAACACCCAAGGCUAAUGGAAACAUUUGUUCUUGGUGGAAAAUGAUCAACUAUAAGAGUUUUGAGAUGAGAGCUGAUAUCUGCAUCAUCAGAGUCAAUCGUUCACACUCAUUGAGAUGGAGAGAUUAAGAGUUACUCUCGCUGCAUUUAUAUACGUCUUACUAUUCAUUCAAAAACAAAUCUACGGAACAGAGAUCGAGCUGAAGGUCAGACCAGGAGACAACAUCACUCUCAUCUGUGACCGUCCUUUAAGUCGUGGUUCCACCAUUGUAUGGAUAAGAAACUGCUCUCAUGAACAUCAACCCUCUCUUGUAUUAGAUCACAAGAUAAUGUAUGAAGAAGACUCCCCACAUUUCAGCUUUCGUCAAGACCCCAACAUUGAUUCUUUAGAUCUACAUAUUAAUAACAUCACAGCUUCUGAUCUGGGACUGUACUACUGUGCAGAGAUAAGAAAGGUAAAUGAUGAUAAAAAUAGCAGGACGUACACAUCGGCCAUUUACUAUUAUGGAAAACAAACAACACGACUCUCCUUCGCUGGUAAGAAAACACUUUUAACAGUUGUUUUAAAGGGGUCAUAUAGUCCGAAUACGUGUUUUUCUGUGUGUGGCGAGGGGAGCGUGGUGUAGCGAGGUGUGCAGCAGGAGAGAGAGCCGGGAGACGAGCGGUAAAUGAGUGGAGUAAUUACAGACGAUCAACACCUGUGUCUCGUUCCAGUAAGGGCGCGGGGAGAGAAUAUAAACAUCGGACGAAGUCACAAUGGGAAGAGAGAGACGGACUCGACGCGAGCUGCCACAAACCCAAACUUCUCAGUCAGCAAGGGGGACCUUCGCUGACUUCAGAGCGACACAAGCCAGGCUAGAAGGAAGACCGUGGAUUUAUGUUGUGUACUUUUGAUGCUCUAUUUAAGUUGGUUGUUUUAUUUAGUGUGGAAUAAAAUCGUGUCAGUCUCGCCAACCUCGUCCUCUUCCUUCCUUAUCUCCACGAACA